rnacentral:rRNA from 1 species
GACGAACGCUGGCGGCGUGCUUAACACAUGCAAGUCGAACGGAAAGGCCCUGCUUUUGUGGGGUGCUCGAGUGGCGAACGGGUGAGUAACACGUGAGUAACCUGCCCCUGACUUUGGGAUAACUUCAGGAAACUGGGGCUAAUACCGGAUAGGAGCUCCUGCUGCAUGGUGGGGGUUGGAAAGUUUCGGCGGUUGGGGAUGGACUCGCGGCUUAUCAGCUUGUUGGUGGGGUAGUGGCUUACCAAGGCUUUGACGGGUAGCCGGCCUGAGAGGGUGACCGGCCACAUUGGGACUGAGAUACGGCCCAGACUCCUACGGGAGGCAGCAGUGGGGAAUAUUGCACAAUGGGCGGAAGCCUGAUGCAGCAACGCCGCGUGCGGGAUGACGGCCUUCGGGUUGUAAACCGCUUUCGCCUGUGACGAAGCGUGAGUGACGGUAAUGGGUAAAAAAGCACCGGCUAACUACGUG